rnacentral:rRNA from 1 species
GAUGAACGCUGGCGGCGUGCCUAAUACAUGCAAGUCGAGCGAACGGACGAGAAGCUUGCUUUUCUGAUGUUAGCGGCGGACGGGUGAGUAACACGUUGAUAACCUACCUAUAAGACUGGGAUAACUUCGGGAAACCGGAGCUAAUACCGGAUAAUAUUUUGAACCGCAUGGUUCAAAAGUGAAAGACGGUCUUGCUGUCACUUAUAGAUGGAUCCGCGCUGCAUUAGCUAGUUGGUAAGGUAACGGCUUACCAAGGCAACGAUGCAUAGCCGACCUGAGAGGGUGAUCGGCCACACUGGAAAUGAGACACGGUCCAGACUCCUACGGGAGGCAGCAGUAGGGAAUCUUCCGCAAUGGGCGAAAGCCUGACGGAGCAACGCCGCGUGAGUGAUGAAGGUCUUCGGAUCGUAAAACUCUGUUAUUAGGGAAGAACAUAUGUGUAAGUAACUGUGCACAUCUUGACGGUACCUAAUCAGAAAGCCACGGCUAACUACGUG